AUCACUGGACAGCGCAGGCGCCUUCUAAGCGCUUGGCCGCAGGUUCGAGUCCUGCCGGGGGCGCCA
rnacentral:tRNA from 1 species